GAACCUGCCCGCCACAGGGGGAUAACCCGGGGAAACCCGGCCUAAUACCCCAUGCCGCCCGGACCGGGCAUCCGGACCGGGCGAAAGGAGGAAUCCGGUGGCGGCUGGGCAUGCGGCGCAUUAGCUUGACGGCGGGGUAACGGCCCACCGUGGCGACGAUGCGUAGGGGCUCUGAGAGGAAGGCCCCCCACACUGGAACUGAGACACGGUCCAGACUCCUACGGGAGGCAGCAGUGAGGAAUAUUGGUCAAUGGGCGGAAGCCUGAACCAGCCAAGUCGCGUGAGGGAAUAAGGCCCUACGGGUCGUAAACCUCUUUUGCCGGGGAGCAAGGGCCGGGACGAGUCCCGGUCCGGAGAGUACCCGGAGAAAAAGCAUCGGCUAACUCCGUGCCAGCAGCCGCGGUAAUACGGAGGAUGCGAGCGUUAUCCGGAUUUAUUGGGUUUAAAGGGUGCGUAGGCGGGCUCUUAAGUCAGCGGUAAAAAUUCGGGGCUCAACCCCGUCCGGCCGUUGAAACUGGGGGCCUUGAGUGGGCGAGAAGAAGGCGGAAUGCGUGGUGUAGCGGUGAAAUGCAUAGAUAUCACGCAGAACCCCGAUUGCGAAGGCAGCCUUCCGGCGCCCUACUGACGCUGAGGCACGAAAGUGCGGGGAUCGAACAGGAUUAGAUACCCUGGUAGUCCGCACAGUAA
rnacentral:rRNA from 1 species